rnacentral:misc_RNA from 1 species
GUUAGUCCGAAUCGGACGUGAGCAGUUCUUGCCUCAACAGCCAGUAACCUCUCGCAGUACCUCCGAAUCUCUCCAGCGUAAAAUCGAUUCACAAACAAAGGAACACCUAACACCAUGGCAGAACAAGGAACAGUAAAGUGGUUUAACGACGCCAAAGGCUACGGCUUCAUCAGCCGCCAGUCCGGCGAAGACGUUUUCGUGCAUUUCUCGGCAAUUCAAGCAGGCGGCUUCCGCAGCCUGCAAGAGGGCCAAACCGUGCAGUUCGACGUGACCAAGGGCCCCAAGGGCUGGCAAGCUGAGAACGUCCAGCCGCUGUAAACCAUCCCCUUAUUGCAAAAAGGCGAUCUCUAACCGGAGAUCGCCUUUUU